rnacentral:rRNA from 1 species
UACGAAGGGGACUAGCGUUGUUCGGAAUCACUGGGCGUAAAGCGCACAUAGGCGGAUGUGUCAGUCAGGGGUGAAAUCCCGGGGCUCAACCUCGGAACUGCCUUUGAUACAGCACGUCUCGAGUCCGGAAGAGGUGGGUGGAAUUCCUAGUGUAGAGGUGAAAUUCGUAGAUAUUAGGAAGAACACCGGUGGCGAAGGCGGCCCACUGGUCCGGUACUGACGCUGAGGUGCGAAAGCGUGGGGAGCAAACAGG